UACGGAGGGUGCGAGCGUUGUCCGGAAUCACUGGGCGUAAAGGGCGCGUAGGUGGCUUGGCAAGCGUGUGGUGAAAGCCCGGGGCUCAACCCCGGGUCUGCCGUGCGAACUGCCAUGGCUAGAGGACUGUAGAGGCAGGGUGAAUUCCGGGUGUAGCGGUGGAAUGCGUAGAGAUCCGGAAGAAUACCGGUGGCGAAGGCGGCCUGCUGGGCAGUUACUGACACUGAGGCGCGACAGCGUGGGGAGCAAACAGG
rnacentral:rRNA from 1 species